rnacentral:rRNA from 1 species
UACGAAGGGGGCGAGCGUUGUUCGGAUUUACUGGGCGUAAAGGGCGCGUAGGCGGCCUUGUCAGUCAGGCGUGAAAGCCCCGGGCUCAACCUGGGAACGGCGCUUGGGACGGCGAGGCUGGAGUUCGGGAGAGGAGAGUGGAAUUCCCAGUGUAGAGGUGAAAUUCGUAGAUAUUGGGAAGAACACCGGUGGCGAAGGCGGCUCUCUGGGACGGUACUGACGCUGAGACGCGAAAGCGUGGGGAGCGAACAGG